AAUGGUGGUUUGCACUAAAAAAGCACAUUGUUGUAUCACCAAAUUCCUUUGUCUUAUAGGCAUAUUUGACAUACAGGCCUUUAUCUCAGCACUGGGGAGGCAAGGGUAGGUGGAUCACUGAGUUCAAGGACAAGCUGGGCUAAAUAGUGAGUUCCAGGCCAAUGCAAGUUACACAGUGAGACCCUAUGUCAAAAAUUUUCCUUGUGGGUUUUCAAUGUAUCUCUAUGUAAAAGUGACUAUGCCAUUUCAAAAUAAUAAAUUAUGUUUUAAUUCUUUUAAAAAGCUAUUUAAGACAAAUUUCCUGUGGUAGACUUAUGAUCUUUUGUGAUACCUAUACACUGGAAGUGUUGACUGAAGAGAAAGAUUGUAGGUAACAUUACUAAGUUUUAAUAUCUUUAGGGCUAUAUACAAAGAUAUUUUUAGAUAGAUUCACUGAGUCUCGUCUCUAAAUAUUUCUCACACUGGUUGUUUUCUAUAUUUUACUAACUACAUUAUAAUAUUUCCUAUUUAGGUUUGUUAUAUUGAUUUAUUUUUCUCUCAAAUGUGCAUUGCAAUUACUUCAUGCUUCCUGUGUGCUGUAAAUAUAAUGUGUAUAAAUAGUAAUGGAAAAUAAGAUUUAUAUAUGUCAAGAAAACUUUUCUGUAUGCUAAUGGACUCCUUAUUUUCUCUUGGAAUGUAUUUCAUACUAGAGAAAAAGGCUACUAGGGUUAUUUCAGUUUUUCUACUAAGCAUAUUUUGCAAAGUAAAUGGACUCUUCAAUGCCAUCUUGUGGUUUUUUUGGCAUUGAAAAAUCCAGCAAUAAUCACAAAACCACAAAAAACAAAUACAUGUGGGAAAACUUUUUCCAUGAAUUACUGCUCAGAAAUUAAUCUGAUUCUAACCUAUUAUAAAUGCUUUUCUCCAAUUUCAUUAAUUUCUAUUAACUCCGUAUUUUAUGUUAUAGUGUAAUAUACAUUUUAGUGAGAGUUUUAAAGGUGCCGUCAAAGUUCUAUACUUUUAUGACAUUGAGGUUACAUCAUUGUUCUUAUUUUUGAAAUUAACCUAUAUUACAUCUUAAGGCAUACUAAUUUGUAUCCUCUUUGGUCAGAUGUAAAAUUAUGUCAAGUAUAUUUGUGUUAUACACUAUUAAAAGUCAUUUUAAAAUAUCACUUCCAUCUAAAGCAUUCCACUUCCUAUAUUUAUUUCAUAACAUUUUUUUAAAACAACAAAUUUCUCUUUGUGUAGCCUGAGCUGCCUUGGAAUUUGCCAUUUCUUCUGUUUCUGAAAUAAAAACAACAACUUUUUGUUUUAAUGGUUCAAGUAUGAAAAUUUGAUGAAUAUGUAAUCUUUACUUGCUAAUAAAAAUAAGAAUCAUUGGUAGAUUUGAAAAGAUGAAGAAUCUUUAUGAACAGUGCUGAAAUUCCUUUCUUACAAUUUCCUGCUAUAUACUAGACCAUGUCUUCAGUAAAACAUGAGAGCACUUGAGAACAGAAAAGCCAAAUGUAAGGAACUACUCACAAGGCAACAUUACCCCCCCCCCCAAAAAAAAUGUUGUUAUCUCAAAGAGGAAAACUGAAGAGAAAUUCUUGGAUAAAAAUAUUUUAAAUAAACCUCUAGUCAAGUACUGUGAUUCCCCUGCAGGCUUACAGCAGGCAGGGAAAAGGGUUCAGGGUGAGGUAAGAAUGGAACUCAGCUCAGUCUAAUUUUAUUGUAACUGGUGCUGCACCGGGACUUCUAGGGUAUGGGCAACAGAAUUUUUCAGCAGUAUUUAUGCACAUAACAAUUUUGGAUAAAGUGUAUUCAGAUAACAAUUAAUCCAGUCCCACUUACACAAUUUAAGGGAUGUUUACAUUGACGUUCUUUACAAAGUCCAGUUGGCUUAUUUCACCAGAAUGGGUACUGUGGGCUCAGAGGUAGUGCCCAGGAUUUAGGGUCUAGGGAGCUUGACUGAGGUGAAACAUAGUGCCUGUGAGAGUCAGGAUUAUCCUGGACCUAAGACAAUAAAGAAGUCACCUAGGUUGUUGUGAAGCACAAGUGACAUCCGUCAGAAAGAUGAUUUUUAUGGACUAAAAGGUAAUGCUCCAGGUUUUAAGGGGAAAGGGUCUGAGCUAAGUAAAUUCUGCAGAAACAGACAAAACCUGGCUCUUCAGACAGCAAAAGAUCACCAGGAUGUUAAAUGAUGUCAUUACUGACAUUUCAGGAAGAACAGCUGCACACCUCAUUCCACUGAAGACUUAAGCUGAGUGUUUAAAUUUCCUGGCUGCUCCAGUGCUUAUCUGUGUGUACAAGACCUUUUUGUCCUCCACAGUCAGAUGUAGUGGUACACACUUGUAAUGUCACUACAUUAGAGGCUGAGUCAGGAGGAUUGCUUUGAAGUGGAGGCCAUUGUUGCCUUGUUGCCUAUGUUAUUAUCUUGAGUCCACCCUGGACUACCACAAGAGUAGGAAGGGGAGGAAGUAGUUAUAAUAUAUAUUUAUAUAUCUAAAUUUUAAAAAGAUUAUAUUUACAAAUCUUGAACACAUAAUGUAUAGGAAUGUGUUUAUUUUUACACUAUUUAAGGUUUAAUUUAUGG
rnacentral:lncRNA from 1 species